UACGUAGGUGGCAAGCGUUAUCCGGAUUUAUUGGGCGUAAAGGGAACGCAGGCGGUCUUUUAAGUCUGAUGUGAAAGCCUUCGGCUUAACCGGAGUAGUGCAUUGGAAACUGGGAGACUUGGGUGCAGAAGAGGAGAGUGGAACUCCAUGUGUAGCGGUGAAAUGCGUAGAUAUAUGGAAGAACACCAGUGGCGAAAGCGGCUCUCUGGUCUGUAACUGACGCUGAGGUUCGAAAGCGUGGGUAGCAAACAGG
rnacentral:rRNA from 1 species